rnacentral:rRNA from 1 species
GGUCUUGCUGUCACUUAUAGAUGGAUCCGCGCUGCAUUAGCUAGUUGGUAAGGUAACGGCUUACCAAGGCAACGAUGCAUAGCCGACCUGAGAGGGUGAUCGGCCACACUGGAACUGAGACACGGUCCAGACUCCUACGGGAGGCAGCAGUAGGGAAUCUUCCGCAAUGGGCGAAAGCCUGACGGAGCAACGCCGCGUGAGUGAUGAAGGUCUUCGGAUCGUAAAACUCUGUUAUUAGGGAAGAACAUAUGUGUAAGUAACUGUGCACAUCUUGACGGUACCUAAUCAGAAAGCCACGGCUAACUACGUGCCAGCAGCCGCGGUAAUACGUAGGUGGCAAGCGUUAUCCGGAAUUAUUGGGCGUAAAGCGCGCGUAGGCGGUUUUUUAAGUCUGAUGUGAAAGCCC